GGAAGCGUGGCAGAGUGGUUUAAUGCACCGGUCUUGAAAACCGAUGAGUCAGGGCGGCAAGCCUUGAUUUUUCUGGAUGCGUUUCCG
rnacentral:tRNA from 1 species